rnacentral:lncRNA from 1 species
UCUCAUACUAAACAAAAACCUAACGUGCUUGGGGAGCAAAAGCAAGUUCUGGCACUCUCAGGGCACCCAUUAUUGCGUCAAUACCCAUUAUUGCUGUGGGAAGGGAAGUAGAAACAAACUUCUUUUCUUGGGGAAAUGGCAGGGAAGAGUUUUACACAGGGUUCUAUAUUAACAGUGUUGGAGGUCUCAGCACCAUAGGAGAAGAUGGAAAAUCUCUCCCACACAAGACUCACCACAGGUAUAAUGCAGAAAUCGGCCAUCAUCGGGAGGAGGCGUAGGAAUGAUGAGAAACCCCACCUAUGAAGCCCAGGCAUACGGGACCUAAGACACACUGGACCAGGACAGAAGAGGACUGCCUCUGUCCUCUGUCCAUCAGCCAGCAAACAGAAUCUGAAAACCAUGAAGGUUAAGUAACUUCACCAACGUGCCACACCUGCUGAGUAGUGAGUUACUCUUCAAACUCGUGAUGUCCGGCUCCAAAGCCUCAGUUUCUUCCAUUAAACCAUCGUAUUAGGAGGUGUGAAAAUGAGACAGCUACAAGUAUGUUUAAAAUUACAAGUAAUAAUAUUACAUUUGCAACAAGAGCGUUCAACAGAACAGGAGUUUAUGCCCUGGAAGAAGUUCAGUCUUAAGGUCCAUUUUCACUUACUCAAAUUAGAUGGAUUGGAGCAUUACACACAUUACAAGAAAAUUUCUGGAGAUUGGAAGUCUGAGAUCAGAUGCCAGCAUGGUUGGGUUCUGGUGACAGCUCUCAUCGUGGUUUGCAAACACCUGUCUUCAUGUUGUAGCCUCACUUCAUGGAGAGAGAGAGUUCUGGUAUAUUGUAAAAAUCUACUCACACAAAUACUAAGCAAAAAAGAUAAGGAACUUGUUAAUCAUGUGGAUUGCAGGGUUUCAUGAAAUCUAAUAAAGUGAUUUUGGAUAACUAAUACAACCAAUGCAAAGCAAUCUACAAGUGAAGACACAAGCAGAGUGAGCGUGGUUAAUGACUGAAGAAGAGAAAUGGAAAAGAAAAGAAAAAAAGAUCUUUCAAGAGAGAAUAAUUUUGAAUAUCAAACAAUGAAGAGCUUUUCAGAAUUUUGAUGAAGAAAAUCCUUGAAAAUUCUUGCAAAAAUGAUACCCCUCCCUUUUAGACUGUUCAUUCAAAAUAUAGUGCUAUCAUUUAAUUUUGCCCAAAAAAUUACCCCCAAGUUAAUACAAUUCAUUCUUUUUAAUUCUAAAAAUUAGCUUAUACUUAUAAUUACAACCAAAAAUACGACAGUUAAAUAACGCUUUUUUAUAAUUUUUCGCUGUAUAUUUCAAAUCAGCCAGUUGGACCAAUCAAGUAUUGUCAAUGUUCAUUAUAAAGUUUUCACCCCACCUUUGGAAACCUCUCUAAAGGUGACUUUUUCUGUACCAAGUGUCCUUCAACAAAGAGGAACCUCCUGGAUCUCAGUGAUUAUGAGGGACACGACCUGGCAAAGGCCUUGUGACUGUUCUGAGAUUCAGUUAUACACUUAUAAAAUCACUGUGUUCUGUUUAAUUAUACUCAUGAAGAAAUACGAACUAUAAAUAUAACUAUAAAAAUAAAUAUAAACUAUAAAUUCCCUAUAAGCUCUAAGAUUGUUAUUGCACAUUUCAAUUUCUUAUAAUGAGUAUCUUAGAUCACUUUCAGGAAACAAGAAAUGUGUCAUUUUGGAAACUUUUGCUUUGUUAAUAUAUUUUUUAAUGCUUUAAGGUUUAAAAAUCAGCUAUCUGAAAAAAACCUCUUGUCUCAUUCCCUCACUAUGUCAGAUGCAUGAUAUGAAGAUUUUUCCAAUUAAAAAAUCCCAAAACACGUUUUCACAUUGUGGAAAACUUGGAAAAUGACAAAUAGGCAAAAUGGAGGAAAAAACUCAUUAUCUUUAUACCCUAAAACAAAGAUGUUUAAGAUUUUAUCACUAUUCCUCUAAUCUUCCAUGUGUAAAUUAUAUCUGAGACACGUUCCCAAGACAUUGACAGCCUUUUAUAAUCAUUUAAUCACAGAUGCAUGUAACAUUCUUUACUAAAUAUUCUUCCCCUUAGAUAUUUAAGUGGUAUAAAUAGACUAUUAUAAAACAAAAUUGUGUUCCUGUUGUCAUUGUUUUUUACGUAACUCUGCGAACUUUAGAUUAUUCUCCAAGGACAAAUUUGUGGAAAUGAAAUUGUCAGAUGAAAGACUGAGCAUUUUAAAAGUUUGUGUUUUGAAUUGCCAAAAUAUUAAAGAAACCAAUAAACCUAGGAAAAUACCUAACAGAAAUGUGUAGGACUAAUAUAAAGAAAACUUUAAAACACCAUUAAGGAAUACAACAGGAAUCCUAAAUAAAUAGAAACAUAUAACUUGUUCUUGAAUUAAAAAGAAUCAAAAUUCUAGGCUUGCAUUUAAACCUUGAAGAUCAAACACAUGUGUUUAUCUCUGAACUGUGCCAAAAUUCUACUGAAAUUACAGCAAUGGAAUUAAUUGCACAUAGGGCCUGAAAGGCAAAGAAACCGGAAGAGUUGACAAAAGUGACUUUGUGGAAUAUAGAAAGUGAGUGUCAGAGUUUUGCUGCUCUGAAGAGCAUGUGUGAGUGUGGGAGGGAGAUAUAUUGGGGACUGGGGGAUAGUUAAAAGCAGGCUUCUGAAGGCCAAAGUACAUGGCAGGGCUACAAGUGAGGGUGUGUUUGGUGUCUAUGGAAGCGUUAGACCCUGAGAUCUCUUUCAUCUGCCCAAGUAGCCAGGUCUCUGGUCCUGCCUAAAUCUUAUAGGAGGCAGGAAGCUUUCACUCUGAAGAAGUUUAUCCUGGAGACUUUGUACUCAGUAAAAUCAGAAACUGGUUAGGAAGAGAAGAGACACUUUUCCACAAGUAAGGGAUUAUCCUCCAGUCUAGACAUGUUGAUAGCUAAACUUAAAUUCAUGAGGCAGAAGAAUUUAGAUUCAUCUUGUGGGAAAUGGACUAUAAAAGGGAGCAGCAAAAACACCAGUCAACAAGACCUCUAUACUGUAGCCCAGCACAAACACCAUGAUUCUAAUAACAGUUUUAAUGUGCUGCUAUUAAAUAUGAAUGCACAGCCAAAGAUCAUCAGAUAUCUGAUAAAAUCCUUUAACAUGAAAAAAAAAAGUAAUAAUCAGAAUGAAAGAAGUCAGAGGAAAGAGAAAACUCAACGAGCAGAAGGAACUUCGGGGAAAGUCCCAUAUAUAAUAUUAUAGGCAAGAGAAGCUACUGUAUUAUGCGACAAAACAAAAUACUAUUGAGAAAAAAAAAGAAUGUUAAAGCAAUGUACAAGAAGAAAGUGUUCCUAGAGUCAAGGAUAUGAAAUUCUAACUUAAAGUCAAUAGCUUGGUGUUUACAUUUGAGGAAAUCUAACAGGAAAAAAAAUUAGAAAAGAGAAUGAAAUUAGAGAGUCAUUGACAAAUUUAUCAUCAGAUUUGUACAGCUCCCAGAAAAGAAUACAGAAAAAAUAGGAGGAAGGAAAUUAUCAAAAAAAAUAUGUAAGAAAAAUUUUUGGAGAAACAUGAGUUUGUUUCAUGAAGUCUCUAGUAUAAUGCAUGAGGAAAGACCCAUAGCUUUACAUUACUGUGAAAUUAAAAUACCAUAAAUAAAGAGACAAUCCUAAAAGUUUAUAUAAUGGAAAGACUGAGGGCUAUAUAAAAAUUCAGAAUUCAGUGUAGAUUCCAUAACAAAAACAUUAUUUAUCAGAAAAAAAUAUUUCAAUCUAGAAUUUUAAAUCCGACCACGUAUAAGGUUAGAAUCAAGACAUUUCCGGCACACAAAUUAAAGCAAUUGAUUUAUCAUAAGCACUUUCUCAGUAAUCUUCCAUAAAGUAUUUGUUCCUAAAAUAAUAUAGUAAUCCUAGAAGGAAGUCAUGAGAUCCCAGAAACAGGAGCUCAAAUAUUAGAAAAAGGUGGAGGAAAUUCCCGGGACGAUAUUGGAGGGAAGUCUCAGAAUGCUAGCCACACUUAGUAUCUAAGAUCUAGAAGUUCUAAGGGGUCACAAGGAUGGGGCUCCUCAUGGGAUGGUGAAAAGAGGACACAAACAAUCAGAGGAACUGAUAGACUACUUGAUUUGUAUGGAUUGCACAGGGAGAUUUAUAUUUGGGAGAUUAUGUUAAACCAAAAAUUUGGCCCUGGAAUAGAAAUAAGUAGACAGAAAAACAAGUGAAUGCUAAUAAAAGAAGCAAUUAGUAACUCCAGAGAAAACAAACAUUUUUAUAAGAAAUGUGAUCUUAGUAUGUUGGCAGUUGUGUGGAAAAGGGAUGUUGCCAAACAUUUUUUGGAGGAAAAAUAAAUUAGCACAGCAUUUUUGAAAAACAAUUCAUUCAGUAAUCAUCAUGAUAUAAAACAUGAAUAGGCUUUGUCUUAGCAGUUCCUCUUCUAAGGAAAAUAACACACAGAAAUAUUCUCCAGAAAGUUCUUGAGUAUAUGCACAAAGACUUUGAUGGUAACAAAUUAAUAAUAGGGGAGAGAGAGAGAAUUAAACGUAUAUUGGUAGUAUUAUGGAAUACUAUAUACCUAUUAGAAAAAGAGAAAGUUUGAU